UAGCUUAGUUGGUAAGGCACUUGUCUGGCAUACAAGAGACGGGGAUCCGAAUUUCCU
rfam:Aedes aegypti strain Liverpool supercont1.11 genomic scaffold, whole genome shotgun sequence.